rnacentral:lncRNA from 1 species
GCUGUUAGUGGUAGAGGAAGGUUGAUUUCAGCAGAAUCUGAAGUGGCAACGACGAUGAGAUGAGAUGCGGCAGAGGAAGACGAUCGGGAUAUGUUGAAAGAAGAGGCUUAACCGCCGAGCUAGAGAGAGAAGCUGCUUAAUCGUCAUCUUUGAUGGUUAUUGCUCUCUCUUUGGGUAUUUUAUUAUUAUUAUUUACAGUGGAAUUUUUAGGGUUUGUCAGGGAUUGGGAGUUUGAGGGAGUGAAGAGUGGAAAGAGAUGGCUGUUCUGAAGGAAGUCAAGAGUGAGAGGUUGACUGGCUGAGAGCUUAGCUUAACG